GCGGAUAAUAUAGCCUUGCGAAGUUUGUAAUUUUCAGUCAUGUAAUUGUCAGUCAUCAGUAACCAUUUCCCGUUUGUAAUCUAAAAUGACUGAAAAUUGCAAACUUUGCAAGGCUAUUUUAUCCGAAUUUU